rnacentral:rRNA from 1 species
AAUGAACGUUGGCGGCGUGGAUUAGGCAUGCAAGUCGAGCGGAAAGGCCCCGCAAGGGGUGCUCGAGCGGCGUAAGGGACAGUAAUGUGUAGGUACGUACCCCUGGGUCUAGGAUAGCUGCGGGAAACUGCAAUUAAUACUAGAUGACGUCUCCGGACCAAAGGUGUGAUUCCACCCAGGGAGCGGCCUACAUCCUAUUAGCUAGUUGGUGAGGUGACGGCUCACCAAGGCGAAGAUGGGUAGCAGGUGUGAGAGCACGACCUGCGUCACUGGGACUGAGACACUGCCCAGACACCUACGGGUGGCUG